AGUUCAGUCUUCCCAGGCCCACCACUUUCAUCGAGUGAGCAUUCGUCUUCUGGUUACGGGGCCAUAGCUCAGCUGGGAGAGCGCGUGCUUUGCAAGCAUGAGGUCGUCGGUUCGAUCCCGUCUGGCUCCACCAGAUGGUUUGAUCACCGAGAUCUUGACCGUCGUCCGCGAAACAUCACUUCGCAUCCUGCUAGUCUGGAUAGACAGCAGUUUGCGUGUUUUCUGACAUCGUAAAGAGGAGAUCGAUCCGAGUUGGGUCGUGCAGCAUAUCGUUGCGCGAGCCUUCAUUAUCUCCGGAUCAUUUCGGCGCUCGCUUCCAGCCGUGAGGUUGGAUGCGGGUUGUAAAUGAUCCUUUUAGCGAAGCUUGACCGCCUCGCUAUCGGAACGAUCUUACGAAGCAAGCUGGUCUUUCUAGUCAAUGUCCGGCUGCGGAUAGCGUUCAUCGAGGGCGCGUGCCGCAAGGCAAUUCUGCAGACAACAUUCUGCCGAGUGUGUGGACAUUGAUAAUGAGAGCAAUCAAGUGCCUUAAGGGUGUUCGGUGGAUGCCUUGGCGCUGAGAGGCGAUGAAGGACGUGCUACGCUGCGAUAAGCCGUGGGGAGCUGCGAAGAAGCUUUGAUCCGCGGAUUUCCGAAUGG
rnacentral:misc_RNA from 1 species